rnacentral:misc_RNA from 1 species
UUGAGAGCCAAAAAUGUCAGAUUCGCUCGCAGUUCUCUAUAAUCUUCUAACUCAGUUAUCAGAUGGCAUACUGGACUCUCUCUCCGCAGUAAACUACACUCCUCCAGAAGGCUCCACUGUCUCUACCAAAUCCAUACUCGAAUCUCUUCUCUCUAAACAAAACUUCAAGCGUAACCCUGAAAUCACUGAAACCCAACUCCACAAUUCAAUCAAGG